rnacentral:rRNA from 1 species
ACGUAGGAGGCGAGCGUUAUCCGGAUUUACUGGGUGUACAGCGCGUGCAGGCGGUUCUGCAAGUGGGAAGUGAAAGCGCCCGGCUCAACCGGGAGAGGACGUGCGAGACUGUCGGACUAGAGGCAGGUAGAGGCAAGUGGAAUUCCGGGUGUAGUGGUGAAAUGCGUAGAGAUCCGGAGGAACACCAGAGGCGAAGGCGACACCCUGGGCCGUACCUGACGCUAAGACGCGACAGCACGGGGAGCGAACGG